GAAGGGUGCAAGCGUUAAUCGGAAUUACUGGGCGUAAAGCGUGCGUAGGCGGUUUCUUAAGUCUGCUGUGAAAGCCCCGGGCUCAACCUGGGAAUGGCGGUGGAUACUGAGGAGCUGGAGUACGGUAGAGGAAGGUGGAAUUCCCGGUGUAGCGGUGAGAUGCGUAGAGAUCGGGAGGAACAUCAGUGGCGAAGGCGGCCUUCUGGACCAGUACUGACGCUGAGGCACGAAAGCGUGGGGAGCAAACAGGAUUAGAUACCCUGGUAGUCCACGCCCUAAACGAUGCGGACUGGACGUUGGGUUCAAUUUGGAACUCAGUGUCGAAGCUAACGCGUUAAGUCCGCCGCCUGGGGAGUACGCUCGCAAGAGUG
rnacentral:rRNA from 1 species